GACGAACGUUGGCGGCGUGCCUAAUACAUGCCAGUUGAGCGCUGAAGGUUGGUACUUGUACCAACUGGAUGAGCAGCGAACGGGUGAGUAACGCGUGGGGAAUCUGCCUUUGAGCGGGGGACAACAUUUGGAAACGAAUGCUAAUACCGCAUAAAAACUUUAAACACAAGUUUCAAGUUUGAAAGAUGCAAUUGCAUCACUCAAAGACGAUCCCGCGUUGUAUUAGCUAGUUGGUGAGGUAAAGGCUCACCAAGGCGAUGAUACAUAGCCGACCUGAGAGGGUGAUCGGCCACAUUGGGACUGAGACACGGCCCAAACUCCUACGGGAGGCAGCAGGAGGGAAUCUUCGGCAAUGGACGAAAGUCUGACCGAGCAACGCCGCGUGAGUGAAGAAGGUUUUCGGAUCGUAAAACUCUGUUGGUAGAGAAGAACGUUGGUGAGAGUGGAAAGCUCAUCAAGUGACGGUAACUACCCAGAAAGGGACGGCUAACUACGUG
rnacentral:rRNA from 1 species